rnacentral:rRNA from 1 species
UACGUAGGGGGCUAGCGUUGUCCGGAAUCAUUGGGCGUAAAGCGCGCGUAGGCGGCCCGGUAAGUCCGCUGUAAAAGUCAGAGGCUCAACCUUUGAAUGUCAGUGGAUACUGCCGGGCUAGAGUCCGGAAGAGGCGAGUGGAACUCCUGGUGUAGCGGUGGAAUGCGCAGAUAUCAGGAAGAACACCAACGGCGAAGGCAGCUCGCUGGGACGGAACUGACGCUAAGGCGCGAAAGCGUGGGGAGCGAACAGG